rnacentral:rRNA from 1 species
UGGACGCAAGUCUGAUGGAGCAACGCCGCGUGAGUGAAGAAGGUUUUCGGAUCGUAAAGCUCUGUUGUUGGUGAAGAAGGAUAGAGGUAGUAACUGGCCUUUAUUUGACGGUAAUCAACCAGAAAGUCACGGCUAACUACGUGCCAGCAGCCGCGGUAAUACGUAGGUGGCAAGCGUUGUCCGGAUUUAUUGGGCGUAAAGCGAGCGCAGGCGGAAAAAUAAGUCUAAUGUGAAAGCCCUCGGCUUAACCGAGGAAUUGCAUCGGAAACUGUUUUUCUUGAGUGCAGAAGAGGAGAGUGGAACUCCAUGUGUAGCGGUGGAAUGCGUAGAUAUAUGGAAGAACACCAGUGGCGAAAGCGGCUCUCUGGUCUGCAACUGACGCUGAGGCUCGAAAGCAUGGGUAGCGAACAGGAUUAGAUACCCUGGUAGUCCAUGCCGUAAACGAUGAGUGCUAAGUGUUGGGAGGUUUCCGCCUCUCAGUGCUGCAGCUAACGCAUUAAGCACUCCGCCUGGGGAGUACGACCGCAAGGUUGAAACUCAAAGGAAUAGACGGGGGCCCGCACAAGCGGUGGAGCAUGUGGUGUAAUUCGAAGCAACGCGAAGAACCUUACCAGGUCUUGACAUCUAGCGCCAAUCGUAGAGAUACGAUGUUCCCUUCGGGGACGCUAAGACAGGUGGUGCAUGGCUGUCGUCAGCUCGUGUCGUGAGAUGUUGGGGUUAAGUCCGCAACGAGC